rnacentral:rRNA from 1 species
UACGGAGGUGGCAAGCGUUGUCCGGAAUUAUUGGGCGUAAAGCGCGCGCAGGCGGCUUCUUAAGUCUGAUGUGAAAUCUUGCGGCUCAACCGCAAGCGGUCAUUGGAAACUGGGAGGCUUGAGUGCAGAAGAGGAGAGUGGAAUUCCACGUGUAGCGGUGAAAUGCGUAGAGAUGUGGAGGAACACCAGUGGCGAAGGCGGCUCUCUGGUCUGUAACUGACGCUGAGGCGCGAAAGCGUGGGGAGCAAACAGG